AUUUCAUUAUGUAUUUGACUGUUGAUAAACUAAGGCCAAUAUCGAGAUUCAACAUCAAUGUGUUAAUCGUUUUUUUUAUCCUCAUGAUGAGUUUAGAUGCAAUUUUGUUUGGGUUGGCUGAUUUUAUAACCAUAAACUAAUUGCAUUCUCAGCUUUUACCUUAACACUUUUUGCCUCUUAAAUUUCCACCAUAAACUUUGAUAAUUCUUUAAAUUACAACAUGUACUUUCAGAUUCAUCCUUAAACAUACAUUUCCAAUUGAACCAGUCAUUAAACCGGGAAUAACCACAAAUCCGCGUUUACUGUACCGCGAUUGCGAUUUACUCGAUUACUCACCUAUAUCCGUUAAGAAAAGGGUUGACUGAUUUUAUAGCCAUAAACUAAUUGCAUUCUCAGCUUUCCCCCCUCCACACUUUUUAUUCCUAAAAUUUUCACCAUAAACUUUGAUAAUUCUUAAAAUUGCAACAUGUACUUUCAGAUUCAUCCUUAAAAAUAUGAUUUCAAUUGAACCGGUCAUUAAACCGAGAUUAACCACAAAUCCGCGUUUAUUAUACCGCUAUUGUGAUUUACCCGACUAAUCCCACACCCGUUAAGAAAACGACGUCGUUUUGUCUUUGUUUUAUAAUGUGAAUCUAUCUAUAUAUGUUAUGUGUUGUGUUAAUUGGUAAGGAAAAUGACAAAUCGAACUAGAUAAAACUUCUAAUCAUAAGGAUAGAUAAGACUCCAAAUCAAUCAGUCAACCUAAAUAAUAUCAUCUUAAAGAGAAUCAACUUCCGAAAAUACAUCAUCCAAAAUAGACAAAAGAGGUUGAAGAUUGUUCCAAUGACAAUCUAAAUCAAUAAAGAACUAGAACUACUCUCAUUGAUCACAUAGAUUGCUUCUUUGUGUGAGUGUGAUUGUAUCGGCUCCAUGUGGUGUUUCUUGAAGCUCCAUUGUCGGCUUACAAAACAACAUUGUUUUCUUAACGGUGUGGGUGAUUAGUUGGGUAAAUCACAAUCGCGGUACAGUAAACGCGGAUAUGUGGUUAAUCUCGGUUUAAUGACCGGUUCAAUUGGAAACAUAUUUUUAAGGAUGAAUCUGAAAGUACAUGUUGCAAUUUUAAGAAUUAUCGAAGUUUAUGGUGGAAAUUUCAGGAGCAAAAAGUGUGGAGGGAAAAGCAGAGAAUGCAAUUAGUUUAUGGCUAUAAAAUCAGCCAACCCUUCUUAACGGAGAUAGGUGAUUAAUCGGGUAAAUCGCAAUCGUGGUAUAGUAAACGCGGAUUUGUGGUUAAUCCCAGUUUAAUGAUCGGUUCAAUUGGAAAUGUAUGUUUAAGGAUGAAUCCGAAAGUACAUGUUGUAAUUUAAAGAAUUAUCAAAAUUUAUGGUGAAAAUUUAAGAGGCAAAAAGUGUUGGGGUAAAAGCUGAAAAUGCAAUUAGUUUAUGCUAUAAAAUCAGCCAACCCAUUUUGUUUGGUCUUUAGUUUGAAAAGUAUGCGAGUCUAGCUAGACCUAUACCAAAAUGACAAACUACAUGUUUACAAUGUCU
rnacentral:sRNA from 1 species